GAUGAACGCUGGCGGCGUGCCUAAUACAUGCAAGUCGAGCGAACGGACGAGAAGCUUGCUUCUCUGAUGUUAGCGGCGGACGGGUGAGUAACACGUGGAUAACCUACCUAUAAGACUGGGAUAACUUCGGGAAACCGGAGCUAAUACCGGAUGAUAUUUUGAACCGCAUGGUUCAAAAGUGAAAGACGGUCUUGCUGUCACUUAUAGAUGGAUCCGCGCUGCAUUAGCUAGUUGGUAAGGUAACGGCUUACCAAGGCAACGAUGCAUAGCCGACCUGAGAGGGUGAUCGGCCACACUGGAACUGAGACACGGUCCAGACUCCUACGGGAGGCAGCAGUAGGGAAUCUUCCGCAAUGGGCGAAAGCCUGACGGAACAACGCCGCGUGAGUGAUGAAGGUCUUCGGAUCGUAAAACUCUGUUAUUAGGGAAGAACAUAUGUGUAAGUAACUGUGCGCAUCUUGACGGUACCUAAUCAGAAAGCCACGGCUAACUACGUG
rnacentral:rRNA from 1 species